rnacentral:rRNA from 1 species
AUAUCAGGAGGUACACCGGUACCGAAGGCGGCUUCGUGGACCGAUACCGACGCUGAGGCGCGAAGGCGUGGGGAGCGCACAGGAGUAGAUACCCUGUAGCUCCACGCAGCAAACGUUGAUCACUAGGCGAAGCGGGUACGGACCCCUGCUACGCCGGAGUGAACGCAACAAGUGAUCCGCCCCGCGAGUACGAUCGCAAGACUAGGACAGCAAAGGAAGGGACGGGGCCCCGCACAACCGAUGGAGCAUGUGAUAUAAUUCGACGCAACGCGAAGAACGGUACCUGGACUGGACAUGUCGGGAACUCCCCUGCAAGACGGGAGCGCCUUUCAUGAGGAAUAGGUUGACAGGUGCUGCAUGGCUGUCGUCAGCUCGUGUCGUGAGAUGUUGGGUUAAGUCCCGCAACGAGCGCAACCCUUAUCUUCAGUUACUAUCAGGUGAUGCUGGGGACUCAGGAGACACUGCCGCGGUUAACGCGGAGGAAGGUGGGGAUGACGUCAAGUCAUCAUGACCUUUAUGUCCAGGGCUAUACACGUGCUAACAAUGGUAUGUACAUAGUGAAGCGAUACCGCGAGGAGGAGCUAAUCGCCGAAAGCACAUCAUAGUUCGGAUGGGACUCUGCAACUCGACUCCGUGAAGUUGGAAUCGUUAGUAAUCGCGCAUCAGCAUGCUGCGGUGUAUACGUUCCCGGGCAUGGUACACACCGCCCGUCACACCAUGUGAGUUGGUGUCACCAGAAGUCGAUGCUCUAACCCGCAUAGGGGGUAAGCGCCUAAGUAAUCAUGUCACUGGGCGGAGUCGUAACAAG